UACGGAGGGGACUAGCGUUGUUCGGAAUUACUGGGCGUAAAGCGCACGUAGGCGGAUUUGUAAGUCAGGGGUGAAAUCCCGGGGCUCAACCUCGGAACUGCCUUUGAUACUGCAAAUCUCGAGUCCGGAAGAGGUGAGUGGAAUUCCUAGUGUAGAGGUGAAAUUCGUAGAUAUUAGGAAGAACACCAGUGGCGAAGGCGGGCUCACUGGUCCGGUACUGACGCUGAGGUGCGAAAGCGUGGGGAGCAAACAGG
rnacentral:rRNA from 1 species